AUUGAACGCUGGCGGCAUGCUUUACACAUGCAAGUCGAACGGUAACAGGCCGCAAGGUGCUGACGAGUGGCGAACGGGUGAGUAAUGCAUCGGAACGUGCCCAGUCGUGGGGGAUAACUACUCGAAAGAGUAGCUAAUACCGCAUACGAUCUAUGGAUGAAAGCGGGGGACCGUAAGGCCUCGCGCGAUUGGAGCGGCCGAUGUCAGAUUAGGUAGUUGGUGGGGUAAAGGCUCACCAAGCCAACGAUCUGUAGCUGGUCUGAGAGGACGACCAGCCACACUGGGACUGAGACACGGCCCAGACUCCUACGGGAGGCAGCAGUGGGGAAUUUUGGACAAUGGGCGCAAGCCUGAUCCAGCAAUGCCGCGUGCAGGAAGAAGGCCUUCGGGUUGUAAACUGCAUUUGUACGGAACGAAACGGCUCUGGUUAAUACCCGGGGCUAAUGACGGUACCGUAAGAAUAAGCACCGGCUAACUACGUG
rnacentral:rRNA from 1 species